UACGUAGGGGGCAAGCGUUGUCCGGAAUUAUUGGGCGUAAAGAGCUCGUAGGCGGUGUGUCGCGUCGGCCGUGAAAACCUGCAGCUCAACUGUGGGCUUGCGGUCGAUACGGGCAUCACUGGAGUUCGGCAGGGGAGACUGGAAUUCCUGGUGUAGCGGUGAAAUGCGCAGAUAUCAGGAGGAACACCGGUGGCGAAGGCGGGUCUCUGGGCCGAUACUGACGCUGAGACGCGAAAGCGUGGGGAGCGAACAGG
rnacentral:rRNA from 1 species